GACGAACGCUGGCGGCGUGCUUAACACAUGCAAGUCGAACGGAAAGGCCCUGCUUUUGUGGGGUGCUCGAGUGGCGAACGGGUGAGUAACACGUGAGUAACCUGCCCUUGACUUUGGGAUAACUUCAGGAAACUGGGGCUAAUACCGGAUAGGAGCUCCUGCUGCAUGGUGGGGGUUGGAAAGUUUCGGCGGUUGGGGAUGGACGCGCGGCUUAUCAGCUUGUUGGUGGGGUAGUGGCUUACCAAGGCUUUGACGGGUAGCCGGCCUGAGAGGGUGACCGGCCACAUUGGGACUGAGAGACGGCCCAGAGUCCAACGGGAGGCAGCAGUGGGGAAUAUGGCACAAUGGGCGGAAGCCUGAUGCAGCAACGCCGCGUGCGGGAUGACGGCCUUCGGGUUGUAAACCGCUUUCGCCUGUGACGAAGCGUGAGUGACGGUAAUGGGUAAAGAAGCACCGGCUAACUACGUG
rnacentral:rRNA from 1 species